rnacentral:rRNA from 1 species
GGCAACUCAGGCGCGGAGGCGGGGGGAUGGCGUAGGGGGCAGGCGUUGUCCGUACUUACUGGGCGUAAGGAGUGCGUAGGGGGCGGGUCGCGUCUGCUGUGAAAGCCCGGGGCUGAACCCCGGGCGUGCAGUGGAGACGGGCCGGCUGGAGGCAGGCAGGGGAGAAUGGAAUUCCCGGUGUAGCGGUGAAAUGCGCAGAUAUCGGGAGGAACACCGGUGGCGAAGGCGGUUCUCUGGGCCUGUACUGACGCUGAGGAGCGAAAGCGUGGGGAGCGAACAGGAUUAGAUACCCCAGUAGUC